CUGUAUACACAAGGUAUACAGAAUCAGAUUAUUUGCACAAAAGUAAGAGAUAAGGACAUAAGCGGAUGGACUUUCCUGAGAGCUCUCCAUUCGGAAUCUGCCAGCGCCAUAUCCACAGCAUUCUAGACCAAAUGAAAGACCAACAGUGACUAACUAAUAUAAAGUAAACACAGCUUUCGCAAUCAAGAUUUCAUCUUCCGGAGAGAAAUGCUACUCUAAAUAUACCCAAGAGUAGAGCAGAGCUCACAGUAGCAGCAGUUGGAGGAAACAUAUUUACAGAUAAUCAGUAAACCAAACCUUCAAUCAAUUGGGGAAAUGCAUGAUUUUACGAGAUUAUUUUUACUUGACCAGAUAACACAAAAAAGUUCCUAUAGGUUUGUGAGUGAAAGAAGAGUGAAAAGAACCUCUCGAAGUCAUUGAAAAUGACGGUUUCAGGAACGAUCUCACUAAAGAACAAUCUAAUACAGUUUGACCAAUUGUAGUACAAAAACAAGAAAUAAGUCUGUUUUCCUUAAGUGGACUGAAAGUGGUAGAACCAAAUGUUAAAACAUAACUAUAUCCACAUAGAAUACAAAGGAAAGAAUAAAGACAAGCACUUUGACGUGCUCGAAACCGGGCGCGUAAUUUAAAAACCCUUUUUUAUCAGAAUGUAGUAUUGGCAAAUAAGGUUCGAUCAAUCCGGGGACCUAAAGGGCGCUCCUGCAGUCAUGGUUACACUAAAGAAUUAGUAACAGAAAGUAAUCACACGUAUUCAGUUACAAAUAUAUACACGGUACAAUAGAUAAAAAGGGGGGUUUUCAAGGUUUGUUUACUAAAUUCCUACGAAAACAGUAGAGAAAAGAACUAAACUACUAUUUACAAGUGAUCGACUUCCACACUUUCGAAACCAGAUUCCAGAAAACAUAAUCGUAAUCCAAUGAACUUUAAUCACACAAUUGAGUUAUCACCAAAGAGAAACACAGAAGGGUUCUAAAUACAAGCCUACGAGGUCAUGCAUUUAAUCAGUUCUUCUAAAUAGUCAUCCAAGCUAGAACG
rnacentral:lncRNA from 1 species